CUUUCGGAAAGAGAUAGAUACAUUAUAACUGGCCAAAAUGCAGAAAAGGAAUGCCCUGGCUAUGAGCACUGCUCAGUGGGAUGUCUGUAUGGAUACUCACCCGCCCCCACCCCAAGGCCGGGGAACAGCCUGAAGGGGGGGGGGGGAUAUGCAGAACAGGGCGUGCAAUGCCGUUCUGGUCAUGACAUGGUCAUGGCACUCGGGAACUCCCUGCAGCUAUAAGAGCAAGCCAACAAGGCAGGAAAGGAUCCAGAACAGGGUGAGCUGUGAGAUGCAGGGACCGAAGCCAUCUAGAGGGAAGGACCACCUGUGGCCUCCGGAGGAGAGGGGGGCAGGGCAAGAAAAGAAAAACAGACCAGCCAGUCAGAGCGACCUGGAGGCCGACUGGAACCGGGCUAGCAACUCAGACCUUCUGCAACAAAUGCCCGAACAAUGGCCCCUAUUUAUGCACAGCUCCCAAAGGCUCCUUGCAUCAGAAGGCACCUUCGAGAAUAAACCGGCAGCUAAUUCUCCUGGUAGCAGAAAUCCACUCUCACGG
rnacentral:lncRNA from 1 species